rnacentral:piRNA from 1 species
UAUGUGACGACAGUGGUGGCUAAGAAGGAA